rnacentral:rRNA from 1 species
GUACGGAAGGCAGCAGUGGGGAAUUUUGGACAAUGGGGGCAACCCUGAUCCAGCCAUGCCGCGUGUGUGAAGAAGGCCUUCGGGUUGUAAAGCACUUUCGGACGGAACGAAAUCGCACGGGUGAAUAUCCCGUGUGGAUGACGGUACUGUAAGAAGAAGCACCGGCUAACUACGUGCCAGCAGCCGCGGUAAUACGUAGGGUGCGAGCGUUAAUCGGAAUUACUGGGCGUAAAGCGUGCGCAGGCGGCUUCGCAAGUCAGACGUGAAAUCCCCGGGCUUAGCCUGGGAAUGGCGUUUGAAACUACGGAGCUGGAGUGUGGCAGAGGGAGGUAGAAUUCCACGUGUAGCGGUGAAAUGCGUAGAUAUGUGGAGGAAUACCGAUGGCGAAGGCAGCCUCCUGGGCCAACACUGACGCUCAUGCACGAAAGCGUGGGGAGCAAACAGGAUUAGAUACCCCAGUAU